AUAAUAGGGAUGUGUAUUCAGUCAAAAUCAGUACAUCAAGAGCUUGCUGGCACAGUGGUGCAAAUGAUUUUUGAUAAUAUUAGUGAUGUAAAGGAGUUUAGGUUUCUUUUCACUAUCAUCAACUCAGAAAAUCUCCACUAGCAUCUGGUGGCAGUUAACAUGAUGCAAAAAUGCUUUCUCCACCUAAACUUUAUAAAGUAUAGCAUCAAGUACAAAGCUGAUGCCAAGAAGUGGCAAAAGAUUUUUGAAAGAAUAUUCCAUAUUUUUUGUGACAAUACAAAGGUAUAGAAAUGAAAGAUGGAGGAAGAUUAGAACUAUCUUUCCUAACCCCCUGCUUUCUAGACUAUGGUCUGUACUAUCUAAAGUAUAUAGAUUUUCUUACUCGCAAGGAUAGGCCACAUCAAUGAAACUUUAUAGGAGAUGACAUCCUUCAAUACCAAUGGGAGCUUGGAGCAAGAAUUCUAAAGG
rnacentral:lncRNA from 1 species